CUCAGUCUGAUAUAUUCAGAAUUGCAGAGCUUUAGGAAGAAAUUUUCAAUCUCAAACAAGGGACCCUUACUAUAAGUGAAUACUACACUCACCUCAAAAUUCUCUAGGAUGAACUCUCUAAUAUACGACUGAUUAAAUCCUGCACUUGUGGAUCCAAUGAGAAUGCCCAAACUCAUCGAGAGCAGGACUAUGUAAUCCGCUUCUUGAAAGGUCUCAAUGAGUAGUACGGUGGUGUUAAGUCACAAAUUAUGCUUUUAGAUCCACUUUUGUCCAUUAAUCGGGUUUUCUCUUUAGUUCUGCAAUAAGAAAGAGAGCUUCAUCCUUCUCUAUCGAUGCCUGUUGAUUCCAAAGUUCUGUUAGCUAAGGGACUACAGUGUCCUUCGACCAAGCCUUCUGGAGGAUCUGCCAAACAAUGUUCUUAUUGUGGAAGACCACGUCAUACGAAAGAGACAUGUUACAGGAAACAUGAUUUCCCUCCGGGCUUCAAAUUUUGAUCCAGCUCUCCUACUAUGGCGAAUAAUAUUUCAUCUCAAGAUUCUGGCACUAUUCAAGAUGCCAAUUCUGCUAAGCCUUCCCGCUACCUACUCUUAAUACGGCUUUUGUCUUGCCUCAUUUGUUCUCCGAGCAAUAUCAACGCCUUCUUGCUUUACUUGCUUCUCCUCAGACUACUUCCAUAAAUCAUCUCUCCACUUCCUCUCUCCCACCGACUACAACUUGAUCAGGCUUUCACUAUAAAAGACCCUGGUGAGCUCUGGUACUUCCUUGGCCUUGAGCUGGCACGUUCUAAGCAGGGCAUUUUCCUCUCCUAAACAAAAUUUGCUCUAGAACUUCUUCAAGAUACAGGCUAUUUGGCAUCCAAACCAGCUUCAACUCCAAUGGAUCCUCAUCUCAAGUUAUCCAAAGACAAGGGAGUACCACUAGAAAAUCCUCAAAUAUACCAGAAGCUAAUUGGGCAUUUGCAAUACCUCCCCACCACACAUCUCAACCUUAGCUUUGUCACUCAACAGCUCAGCCAGUACAUGUCCAACCCUAAAGAUCUUCAUCUUCAAGCUGCCUAUAGGGUUCUAUGAUAUAUAAAAGUUUCUCCUGGUGCUGGUUUAUUGCUUCCCUCAGAUUCUGAUUUAAAGUUGAAAGGUUCAGUGAUUCUAACUGGGCUAGCUAUAUAGAUUCCAGGAGAUCUGUGAUUGGUUUUGCUAUAUUCCUUGGUUCUUCUCUUAUCUCCUGGAAAGCUAAAAAGCAAGUGACAGUGUCUCACUCUUCUUCUGAGACAGAGUACCGUGCUCUAGCUUCCACUACAUGUGAGUUCUAGUGGUUAUUGUACCUUUUGAAUGACUUUCAUGUUUCACAUCUCGCUGCUACUCCUCUAUACUGUGACAAUCAAUCUACCCUCCAGAUUGCAGCUAAUCCUACAUUCCAUGAGAGAACCAAGCACAUUGAAUUUGAUUGUCAUCUAGUCAGAGAAAAAUUACAAGCCAAAGUCAUCCAUCUCCUCCCAAUCAAAUCUACUGAUCAAUUAGCCAAUGUUUUUACUAAGCCACUGCAUCCCACAUGCUUCCAUGAACUCAUUUCCAAGUUUGGCAUGAAAAAUAUCCAUGCUCAAGCUUGCGGGGGGUGUCAAGUGUAACAUAGAUAUUUUGUUAGAUAAUUUAUAUUGUUAAGAAGUAGUUACAGUUUGUUAUGUAAACACUCUCAGACCCACUAACUCACUUGUAUAUAUACACUUCUUCUGAUCAAUAAUAAAGUUAACUCAUUCUUUCCCAAUAUUAA